rnacentral:rRNA from 1 species
AGAGUUUGAUCCUGGCUCAGGAUGAACGCUAGCGACAGGCUUAACACAUGCAAGUCGAGGGGCAGCACAGGUAGCAAUACCGGGUGGCGACCGGCGCACGGGUGAGUAACGCGUAUGCAACUUACCUAUCAGAGGGGGAUAACCCGGCGAAAGUCGGACUAAUACCGCAUGAAGCAGGGGUCCCGCAUGGGAAUAUUUGCUAAAGAUUCAUCGCUGAUAGAUAGGCAUGCGUUCCAUUAGGCAGUUGGCGGGGUAACGGCCCACCAAACCGACGAUGGAUAGGGGUUCUGAGAGGAAGGUCCCCCACAUUGGUACUGAGACACGGACCAAACUCCUACGGGAGGCAGCAGUGAGGAAUAUUGGUCAAUGGACGCAAGUCUGAACCAGCCAUGCCGCGUGCAGGAAGACGGCUCUAUGAGUUGUAAACUGCUUUUGUACUAGGGUAAACGCUCCUACGUGUAGGAGUCUGAAAGUAUAGUACGAAUAAGGAUCGGCUAACUCCGUGCCAGCAGCCGCGGUAAUACGGAGGAUCCAAGCGUUAUCCGGAUUUAUUGGGUUUAAAGGGUGCGUAGGCGGUUUGAUAAGUUAGAGGUGAAAUACCGGGGCUCAACUCCGGAACUGCCUCUAAUACUGUUGAACUAGAGAGUAGUUGCGGUAGGCGGAAUGUAUGGUGUAGCGGUGAAAUGCUUAGAGAUCAUACAGAACACCGAUUGCGAAGGCAGCUUACCAAACUAUAUCUGACGUUGAGGCACGAAAGCGUGGGGAGCAAACAGGAUUAGAUACCCUGGUAGUCCACGCAGUAAACGAUGAUAACUCGUUGUCGGCGAUACACAGUCGGUGACUAAGCGAAAGCGAUAAGUUAUCCACCUGGGGAGUACGUUCGCAAGAAUGAAACUCAAAGGAAUUGACGGGGGCCCGCACAAGCGGAGGAACAUGUG